rnacentral:rRNA from 1 species
UAACGUGAGCGUCCUAAGGUAGCGCGAUAAUUUGCUUUUCAAUUGAAGGAUGGUAUGAAAGGGUUAACGAAGAAGGUGCUGUGUCUAAAAAUUCAAUUUAAACUAACUUUAAGGUGAAGAGGCCUUUAUGUAAAAGAAGGACGACAAGACCCUAUGAAGCUUUAUCUUAAUUGGAGCUCUCAGGCUCUUAUACGAUUUUGAUGGGAGAUCAGUAGAAAUAAGUCUUCUACUAUCAUAUUAAUCUUACUAGUAUUUCCUAACUUUAUAUGUGCGGCUAGCUACUCUAGGGAUAACAGCGCAAUUUCUCCCGAAAGAUGGUAUUGGAGGGGAAGAUUGCGACCUCGAUGUUGGCUUUAGAUAUCCUAGAGGCGUAGAAGCUUCU